rnacentral:rRNA from 1 species
UGGGGAAUAUUGCGCAAUGGGGGGAACCCUGACGCAGCCAUGCCGCGUGAAUGAAGAAGGCCUUAGGGUUGUAAAGUUCUUUCGGUAUUGAGGAAGGUUGAUGUGUUAAUAGCACAUCAAAUUGACGUUAAAUACAGAAGAAGCACCUGCUAACNCCGUGCCAGCAGCCGCGGUAAUACGGAGGGUGCGAGCGUUAAUCGGAAUAACUGGGCGUAAAGGGCACGCAGGCGGUUAUUUAAGUGAGGUGUGAAAGCCCCGGGCUUAACCUGGGAAUUGCAUUUCAGACUGGGUAACUAGAGUACUUUAGGGAGGGGUAGAAUUCCACGUGUAGCGGUGAAAUGCGUAGAGAUGUGGAGGAAUACCGAAGGCGAAGGCAGCCCCUUGGGAAUGUACUGACGCUCAUGUGCGAAAGCGUGGGGAGCAAACAGGAUUAGAUACCCUGGUAGUCCACGCUGUAAACGCUGUCGAUUUGGGGGUUGGGGUUUAACUCUGGCGCCCGUAGCUAACGUGAUAAACCGACCGCCUGGGGAGUACGGCCGCAAGGUUA